UAACAAAGAAUUUACAUAAUAUUUUAAAGGAAAUCACCAAAAAUAACCUUUCGAUAUGACAACAAAACGUUCGUCUUACGUUUUUGCGCCCGCGGUCCUUGUCUUUUGCGGUCGCAUUCCUGAUCUCUAUUUUUAACUGGAUGCUGUCAUAAGGACAGAAACAUCCCCCUCCCGAAUGUAAAAACAUUCGAACCCAACUAACAAAACUAGUUAAUAUAUAACUGCGAUGUGGUCCAUGUCUUAGGUAACUGUCCGAGCGUUAUGAAUUGUCUCCUGCGUAUUCAAAAGGGCACAACCGGUGCACCGGACGCAAGUAUUCACCGUCUUUCGAUUUUAUCCUUACAACCCGUACCAAUCCGUCAUUUCCAGGAAAUACUUCGAUAACUCGACCAAGAGGCCAUUCUCCCCUCUCUGCAUUCGGCUCUACUAACAUUACGUCGUCCUCCUUUAGGUUGUGUGUCGGAUGAAACCACUUCUUUCGUGUAUUUAAGCUCGGCAGAAACUCUCUCCUCCAGCGUUUCCAAAACUGCCCCACCAACUGCUGUACACGAUGCCAACGCUUUCGGGGGUUGAAAACUUCAUCUCUAUCUGCGGUUUCAGGAGCAAACUUUCCUCCCAACUGUCCGAUAAGGAAAUGACUCUGGGUCAACGGGGAAAGAUCAUCAGGAUCUGAACUGACGAAGGUGAUUGGUCGUGAGUUUAAUAAAC